rnacentral:rRNA from 1 species
UAGGGAAUCUUCCACAAUGGACGCAAGUCUGAUGGAGCAACGCCGCGUGAGUGAAGAAGGUCUUCGGAUCGUAAAGCUCUUGUUGUUGGUGAAGAAGAUAGAGCAGUAACUGGUCUUUAUUUGACGGUAAUCAACCAGAAAGUCACGGCUAACUACGUGCCAGCAGCCGCGGUAAUACGUAGGUGGCAAGCGUUGUCCGGAUUUAUUGGGCGUAAAGCGAGCGCAGGCGGAAUGAUAAGUCUGAUGUGAAAGCCCACGGCUCAACCGUGGAACUGCAUCGGAAACUGUCAUUCUUGAGUGCAGAAGAGGAGAGUGGAACUCCAUGUGUAGCGGUGGAAUGCGUAGAUAUAUGGAAGAACACCAGUGGCGAAGGCGGCUCUCUGGUCUGCAACUGACGCUGAGGCUCGAAAGCAUGGGUAGCGAACAGGAUUAGAUACCCUGGUAGUCCAUGCCGUAAACGAUGAGCGCUAGGUGUUGGGGACUUUCCGGUCCUCAGUGCCGCAGC